CACACGGUCCUCCAGGAUCCUCUGCUGAAUCCCCCGGGGCUGUGGGAUGUUAAAGGGCUGAACGAGCAAUAGAAAAUUCUAGAUUAAGACAUUCCUGUGGGGGAAGUUAGGACUCUGAGAAGACAGAAACACAAACCAAAUCUUCCAAGGGGUGGGGGGUGGGGGGGAGGAAAGCCUGCUUUCCACACUCCAGUCAGUGAAGUGGGCGGCUCUGGAUGGGCAGAUGGCAGCAGGGAGACAAGACGCGCAGCAAGGCCACCAUGCUGGGCUAGAUCAUCAGACGACAAAUUCAAAGAUCAAAUCUCUGCCUGAGAGACGGGACAUUUGGAGCAGGAACACUAUGCCUUCCCAAUGAGAUAUCACUCGGUGCGCCCAGGAAAAAUAAGGAGAAGGCACUUUGUUGAAGAUGCACUCCACUGGCCUGGCACUCUAUGGCUGAUACCCAGAGCCCAGGACGACCUGCCCAGGAACAGAACCACCCAUAACAGGCUGGACCCUCUGGCAUUAACCAUCAAUCAAGAAAAUGCUCUACAGACUUGCCUGCAGCCCAAUCCAAUGGAGGCAUCUUUUCAAUUGAAGUCUCAUGGAUCUCGAUAAGUUGGAGACCAGCCUGUUGUACAUAAUAAGUGCCAGGACAGUCAGAGCUACAGUGCCCUGUUUCUGGAGGCCCAACCCUGAGGAGCUAUUGGUGGCUGAUGACUACAGAGAGAAAGCAAGAUCAUUUUCUUAGUCCCUGGGUGGUUGUCCAUGCUCCAGCAGAUGACCCCAUACCUAUGAACAUAUAGGUAGCUCCAAUGAACUUGGUGAGCUAGGAUAAGGAGCAGGGCAUGAGGCUGGGAGGAUGAUAUGUUAGGGUCCAGGAGAGUUGGAGGAAGGGAAUGGGGAGGGUGUGAUCAAAUACAUUGUACACAUCUAUGAAGCCCACAAAGAAAUAUAAAUAUUGCACAGUUGCCAAACUGCCUUGUCUCCCUGUAUUCACAACACUGAUUGAUUUGCCCUCUUUCUGCCUCUCUACCUCUCUGGAAUAUAAGCCAAUCGCAGUAGGAUGGUUUCCUGCUUGUUUCUAGAAUCCUUGCUUUUUCCCCAGUACCUGGCAUGCCAGAGAAUUCAUGAAUAUUAAUAAUUAAUUAAUCAUUCAUUCAAAACUGAGUCUAAAAAUAUCACUCAGCGUCAGGCAGGAGAUUGGUAGAGUUUUCAAUGAGAAGUUGAUAGUCUGCAAUGAAAUUAAACAUCUUUUGUGAAUUACUUUUGUGCUAGGAAGUGACACACUCACCCCUUAAAUAUUAAAUUAGAGUGCGCGGAAGUGCAGUUACAGAAAUUCAAAUGUAAAAUUGGAGAAAAUUUUAAUUAAAAAAUAACAUACGUGAUUGCUUGGAACCCAGCAAUUUCCCAAACACACAAAAGGGCUAAGCAAUUAAGAGUAAGCCCAGCAUCAUGGCUGACCUUGCUGCAUGACCUUGAGAGUAUUACUCCACAGUCAGAGCUUGGAGCUAAGGCAAGCACCCAGCCCACUUUAAAGGUAAACACUAAGGGGGAUGGGAAAUGGUUCAGUCGGGAAAGUGCUUGUCACAUAAGCAUGAGGUGAGUUCAGUCCCCAGAACCCGAGUGAAGGUUCAGCAGCCUGAGGUUCAGCAGCCUGAGCUUGAGAUUCCCAGUGCUGAAGAGGCAGAGACAGCAGGAUCCCUGGCCAACCAACCUCCUGGCUUGCUGGCCAACCUGCUGAGCCAACCAGUGAGUUCCAGAUUCAGGGAGAGAGUGGGAGCCAGAGUUAAGAGCUCUUGCUUCCAGAGUGACCGAGCUCAGUCUCCAGCACUCACUUGACUCUAGUCCUAGGGGAUCCGACGCACUCUUCUGGCCUCUAUCAGCCUCACAUUCACAUGCACGAACCCACACACAGACAUCCACGCAUGUAUGUCAAUAAAAUAAAAAUACAACUCUGUAAAUGAAUAAACAAAAACAUAGAGAAUGGUAGAGAAAAGCAACCUUGCUCAGCCUCUGACCUCCAAAUGCGCAUGGGCACGCACACACACACACACACACACACACACAUAUAAAAGAGGUAAUACUGAAGAUUUGGCCGCAUUAAAAAGUAGCCAUCUUGUUGUCUUUAAAGUUAAUACACUAUGUAUACACACACACACAUAGCAUUUUAAAUGAUAGUUUUAGAGAAAUGGGGCUAUUAGAAAAACUUUGGUAAUCACUUAAAACAAAAGUUUACAUGUAUAUUAUGUCCAGAGUGAGUACAAGCUCCCUAUUCGAUUCCUUCAAUAAAAGCCUAUUGGAUACUGGGCACCGGGCAACUACCAGUUGCAGAAAGGUAGUUAUGGUCUCUGCUCUUAAGCAAACAAGCUCCCUGUAAAGGUCAUCAAGAAAAGAUUAUUUUAAGGCAAUGCCAUCAUUACAGUGUUAGAGGCUUCCAAUGGAGCCAAUUACAGGUGACCAGCAGAAGUAAUUCCCUGGAUGAGUGAGUUUUAACCUCACUGACCGACCGUGAAGACUUAACUAAGGCCAUUGUCCUAAAACACAGGACUUUCAGAAAAGAUCUCAUUUCCCAUUCCCUCAUGCAUCAGCUCAGCUAAGUUCUAGUCAUCGUGAGAGGAAGUGAUUCGAGCAACAUCCAAGCAGUGCACGUCUCGGUGGAAAGUGUGCAACAUCUGAGCAGUGCACACCUCGGUGGAAAGUGUGCAACAUCCAAGCAGUGCACACCUCGGUGGAAAGUGUGUUCCCUUCCUUUCAGCCUCUCCUCCCUUGCCAUUGGCUGGACUGUGAUCUCAGACCACAUGAAAAAGAGAAACUUCCUCAGAGUGUCAGAGCAACGAUGUGGAAGGAGCCUGGUAGGUUAACAGACGUCCACGACAGAGAUAUCAACGUUUAUAUAAGAGAUAAAUAAACCUCCAUUUGGGUUUGGCCUGGUCUGAUUUGUUUUUGUUUUGUUUUUCUGAAGAGAGACUAUGGGGGCUACAGAGAUAUCAUGUGGG